UUCAGUCAUGAGGCACGACAUGUAACUUCCGUCAAUACAAACGGUAAAGAUUAAUAGAAGCUGCUCUGUUGGGCGUUCCUAGUUGUCGUAUCGUUCAUUACAGGUUGUAAGUAGUCAAUGUGCUUUACUGUUUUGGAAUCAUCUUCUCUUUGCCGCUGAUGAAUCUUUCAUAUCGGACCGAUAUUGGAGUUAAGUUGCCCGAAACUUGAGCAUCUCUUUCGCUACAAAGGAAACCGAGAAGCAUCAAGUUGCGGAGAAUAUGUUGAGCCAUUCCCCGGACGAGGAUAAUAUAACUUUAUAGUUAUUCGUACGCUUCGUGGAAAUUUCAUUUGUUAUGUGACGACUACUGCACCUGGAGCUUUAUUGAAGUUGGCUUUCACUCUUGGUCAUCCUGGUUUUAUAUGGGAGCGAGGAACGCAAGCGACAUAUUGUUGCGGGACUGCUAUAAUAUACAGGAGGCCUCCAAACCGGUUUAGUCACGCUGAAGGACAUUUAUCGAGUCAAAACAUUUGCUGCGGCCUAAUUCACUUAAAAUUGAUUACAACUCAUGCGUUACUUUAGAUCAUUUGCAUCUCUCGCAUAACAGACCUGAUUCCGACCCAAGUGGGUCACCUUCUUUCACUGCUCCGAUUCUAGUAUCGGCCGUUUCCGAAGAGAUGGUGACCAUAUAUUAUGUCGUAUUCAUCUAUGCACUGGUAGCGUUAUCAAGUGCGGGGUCACAUUAUUUAGAGUAUUGCUAUGAGAAGAUGAUCAUCAAUGAGUUACAUAUCGGCAGGAAAACCAUGAUCAUCCAUCUCGAGAAUAGCAAGACUAUACUUCCAGUUGGAAUACGCGUGCGCGUCACGAAGGUCUACAAUGGUGCAUAUCGUGUGUCUGCCCUUUUGCCGAAGUCGGACAGAACUCUUUCCGAAGCCACUUUUGCGACGCCGGGAGAAAUGGACUUCGAUCCGAGAUAUGUUCUCGGGAGUAUCAGAGUGACGUUUGCUCCUGACGUCCCCACUGAUAAUAACUUCCGGAAGGACAGAAAACCAAGAGUACGAAUACAGGUGUUUGGUUGUUAUGAUCCGAAAUGAUCUUGAGAACCGGCGAUGUUUACGGCGAAGAUUUAUCCGCAACAGUUAUGGAGAGGAGAAGGGAGCGUCGAUAUUUCUAAGGUUAUCAUACGUGUAGUUCAAUAAUUAUGCACGCAUGGUGUAGGGCCGUAGAUGGCCAAUUGGUAUCAUCUUUAUGCAAUGACUCGUGUUUGUUUGAGGAACUCUCGAUCCCGACCUGAACGCUACUCCACUAUCGAAAGAAACGAGAGAAACCCAGUGGACUCUCCGAAUUGAAGAGUUGUUCGCUGCGUUCUAUGAAUGCAUCUGAAUCAGUCAUCAAAGGAGUGUUAUAUAGUCAAGGCUGUCAGGAGAUAAUGCCGUACAUGAAGGGCGUGUUUCUGACAUCAAAUCAUGGUAGUCAGUAUAAAAUCAUAGUAGACAGUAUGAAAGCAUAGUAGUCACCUCUUUGAUGACUAUCAUAGCCGCCGAGGUGGUGAUUCCUGAUGAAAUCACCGUUGUUACUGCGGACCGCCAAUCGUCGGGUUGAAACAUGGCAUAAAAAGCGCUGUUGAAAGUUAUAUUGGAAUGAUCAGUUGCCACGACCUCCUCGCCAAUUGCCAUUGACCUUUAAUUUUAUGUCUAUCAAAAGGACCUUCGUUCCCGGACGUGGAGGUUUCUGCUACAUUGGUCGACACCUAGUCGACACCUAGUAACACGCAGUAGAAAAAGAUGUCGCUGUAGUUGUCUGUUGAUUAUUUGUGUAUUCCCUCCUUAUUAAAUGUAGUGUUGACA